CCUCCUUUCUUCCUCCUUUUUGUCUCUUGCCCCAUGGGGGCACCCCUGCUGCAGCGAUGCCGCGUGAAUGAAGACGGCCUUCGGGUUGUAAAGUUCUGUCGCAGGGGACGAAAAUGACGGUACCCUGCAAGAAAGCUCCGGCUAACUACGUGCCAGCAGCCGCGGUAAUACGUAGGGAGCAAGCGUUGUCCGGAAUUACUGGGUGUAAAGGGAGCGUAGGCGGGAGGAUAAGUUGAAUGUGAAAUCUAUGGGCUCAACCCAUAGCUGCGUUCAAAACUGUUCUUCUUGAGUGAAGUAGAGGCAGGCGGAAUUCCUAGUGUAGCGGUGAAAUGCGUAGAUAUUAGGAGGAACACCAGUGGCGAAGGCGGCCUGCUGGGCUUUUACUGACGCUGAGGCUCGAAAGCGUGGGUAGCAAACAGGAUUAGAUACCCGGGUAGUC
rnacentral:rRNA from 1 species